GAUGAAGAACGUAGCGAAAUGCGAUAAGUAAUGUGAAUUGCAGAAUUCAGUGAAUCAUCGAAUCUUUGAACGCACAUUGCACCCCCUGGUAUUCCGGGGGGCAUGCCUGUUCGAGCGUCAUUUCAACCCUCAAGCUCUGCUUGGUAUUGGGCGUCGCCGGGGAGUCUCCCCGGCGUGCCUCAAAGCCAUCGGCGGUGGUGCCUUUCUCUAAGCGUGGUAGAAUUUUUAUUCGCUUCUGAGUUGGGCUUCACCUGCCGGACAAACCGGGCCCUCGCGGCCCACCUUCUCAGGUUGACCUCGGAUCAGGUAGGGAUACCCGCUGAACUUAAGCAUAUCAAUAAGCGGAGGA
rnacentral:misc_RNA from 1 species